CUUCAACAUGUGAUUAUAAUGAUACUGCAGGGACUGUAUGCCAACCAUUGAUUAAGUUAAGUUACCUGGGUAAAUAGCCACUAGCCAACCUUUACGCCUCUAUCAGAUGAUGCUCAUGCCCUUUGCUUACGUAAUAGCAUGAUUGCUGCAUUGCACAAUGGAUAUUUACAUGUCAAGGCCUCAGACAGGAACACAUGUCAUGCGCACAUGUCAUGCUAUGCACCAGUAUACUUGCUCAGUAUAUUAACUGCACUAUAUGUCGGACCAUGCAGCCUUUAGUUUAAAAGCGACUAGGAAUAUAUUAGAGCGCUCAUUCAUGCAACGGCCUAUACC